rnacentral:rRNA from 1 species
UACAUGUGGGGCAAGCGUUGUUCGGAAUUACUGGGCAUAAAGGGUGCGUAGGCGGUCUUGUAAGUCAGGGGUGAAAUCCGGUGGCCCAACCAUCGAACUGCCUUUGAUACUGCAUGACUUGAGUGCGUGAGGGGUGACUGGAACGAGUGGUGUAGCGGUGAAAUGCGUAGAUAUCACUCGGAACGCCAACGGCGAAGGCAGGUCACUGGUACGUAACUGACGCUGAGGCACGAAAGCGUGGGGAGCAAACAGG